GUCUUUUUGAAAUUAAUAUAAAGUCUGAUCUGCCCGCUGAUAAAUUAAUUAAAUGGCCGCAGUAUCCUGACUGUGCAAAGGUAGCAUAAUCAUUAGUUUUUUAAUUGAAGGCUAGAAUGAAUGAUUGGACGAGAUAUAAUCUGUCUCAAUAAAAAUUUAUUUUGAAUUUUAUUUUUUAGUUAAAAAGCUAAAAUUUUUUUAAAAGACGAGAAGACCCUAUAGAUCUUUAUAUUAAUUUUAUAAUUAAUUUUGAGGAUAAAUUAUGUAAUUAUAAUAUUUUAGUAUUGUGUUGGGGUGACAUUAAAAUUUAUUUAACUUUUAUUAUUAAUAAUACAUAAAUUUAUGGUUAUUUUUGAUCCUUUAGUAUAGACAAAAAUUUAAGUUACCUUAGGGAUAACAGCGUAAUUAUUUCGGAGAGUUCAUAUUGAUGAAAUAGAUUGCGACCUCGAUGUUGGAUUAAGAUUAAUAUUAGGCGCAGAAGUCUAAAAUAUUAAGUCUGUUCGACUUUUAAAUUCUU
rnacentral:rRNA from 1 species